GACGAACGCUGGCGGCGUGCUUAACACAUGCAAGUCGAACGGAAAGACCCUGCUUUUGUUGGGUGCUCGAGUGGCGAACGGGUGAGUAACACGUGAGUAACCUGCCCUUGACUUUGUGAUAACUUCACGAAACUGGGGCUAAUACCCGAUAUGAUCUCCUGCUGCAUGGUGUGGGUUGGAAAGUUUCGGCGGUUGUGGAUGGACUCGCGGCUUAUCAGCUGGUUUGUGGGGUAGUGGCUUACCAAGGCUUUGACGGGUAGCCGGCCUGAGAGGGUUACCGGCCACAUUGGGACUGAGAUACGGCCCAGACUCCUACGGGAGGCAGCAGUGGGGAAUAUUGCACAAUGGGCGGAAGCCUGAUGCGGAAACGCCGCGAGCGGGAUGCCGGCCUUCGGGUUGUAAACCGCUUUCGCACGUGACGAAGCGUGCGUGACGGUAAUGGGUAAAGAAGCACCGGCUAACUACGUG
rnacentral:rRNA from 1 species